CUACGGGAGGCAGCAGUGGGGAAUAUUGCACAAUGGGCGCAAGCCUGAUGCAGCGACGCCGCGUGCGGGAUGACGGCCUUCGGGUUGUAAACCGCUUUCAGUAGGGACGAAGCCCUUCGGGGUGACGGUACUUGCAGAAGAAGCGCCGGCUAACUACGUGCCAGCAGCCGCGGUAAUACGUAGGGCGCGAGCGUUAUCCGGAAUUAUUGGGCGUAAAGAGCUUGUAGGCGGUUUGUCACGUCUGCUGUGAAAGCCCGGGGCUCAACUCCGGGUGUGCAGUGGGUACGGGCUGACUAGAGUGCAGUAGGGGAGACUGGAAUUCCUGGUGUAGCGGUGAAAUGCGCAGAUAUCAGGAGGAACACCGAUGGCGAAGGCAGGUCUCUGGGCUGUUUCUGACGCUGAGAAGCGAAAGCAUGGGUAGCGAACAGGAUUAGAUACCCUGGUAGUCCAUGCCGUAAACGUUGGGCACUAGGUGUGGGGGACGUUCCUCGUCGUCCGCGCCGUAGCUAACGCAUUAAGUGCCCCGCCUGGGGAGUACGGCCGCAAGGCUAAAACUCAAAGGAAUUGACGG
rnacentral:rRNA from 1 species